GAAUACGUUCCCGGGUCUUGUACACACCGCCCGUCACACCAUGGGAGUGGGUUUUACCAGAAGUAGGUAGCUUAACCGCAAGGAGGGCGCUUACCACGGUAGGGCUCAUGACUGGGGUGAAGUCGUAACAAGGUAGCCGUAUCGGAAGGUGCGGCUGGAUCACCUCCUUUCUAA
rnacentral:rRNA from 1 species